AAUAAGUGCAGCCGUGAAUAUCUGUGUCCAACGUUUGACCGUUCGUCUUAUUUAAAAAAAUUUAAAAAAUAGUCACACAUAAAGUACUAUUAAUGUUUUAUCAUCUAAUAGCAAUAAAAAUAUUAAUCAUAAAAAAUUUUCAAAUAAGACGAACGGUCAAAUGUUGAACGUGAAUAGUGCAAAACUGCACUUAUU
rnacentral:pre_miRNA from 1 species